CAGAGCCUGCGGCCCCAGCGCCGUGCGGCCGAGAGAGCCCAGCCGAGGGCCCGGGGCGUGCUGAGCGGCUCGGGGCCCCGCACGGUGCCAGCCGCGGCCGUGGCUGCCCUCACAGCAGGCCUGAAUGGCAGCUGCGGCACUCAGCGGCUGCUGACGGCUCUGGCCCCAGGGAGACCCCACGGCCUCAGGCUCCCUCAUUAGCGUAACCCGCCCUUAAUUACCGGGGCUGGGGAAACGGUUUGGUGCAAGGGCUGAGCUCCCCCAGCUGCCUCUGCUGCCUUCAGUCUCUUACCUGGAGACAGGAAAGGGAGGGGAGCAGAGGCAGAGGCUGCAGGGGACUGGCACCGAGCGAGGCUCAGGGCUCAGGGCUGGCACUCUCCUGGCAGCAGCAGAUGAGAGCAGUGCUGAGCCCGGGCCCUUUUUUGGCUCCUCUCCCUGCCACCCCACGGCUGCUCUGAAACACCUGUCUCUUGUGUACUGGAGAAGGAAUGGUGUGUGUGCCAUCCUGUGCUGGCUUUGCUGCCAUCCUCAGCAUCCUCCACUGGAAGGUCAGGAGUGCUGUGCUCUGCCCAGAGUGCAGCUUGUCUGAUCUGAACAGACCAGUGAUCUCCUCAGCUGUGCUCCUGAGAGGGAAGUUCUUCAUUAUCCACAGAGAAUUUUUCUUUUGA